rnacentral:lncRNA from 1 species
CCAUACAUGAUCAACAACAUACAUAAAAAUUUAAAACUUUUCUUUCACUCAUAAGCCAAACUCAACCUGCACAUGCACUGAACAUGCUCAUAAUCAUAAUCAUGACCCCUCUGUGGGAUCUCAUCAAUGCCCCAAUGGGCGAUACAUCAUAAGAUGAGUUGGCUUUCAUGAACAUUAUAAAACAUUUAUGAUCAUGUAACAAAAGGGAUACCUCAUACACAAUGUCAAGCACAAUAU